rnacentral:rRNA from 1 species
UACGGAAGGCAGCAGUGGGGAAUAUUGCACAAUGGGCGAAAGCCUGAUGCAGCUAUGCCGCGUGUAUGAAGAAGGCCUUAGGGUUGUAAAGUACUUUUCAUCGGGGAGGAAAAAACAAAACUAAUAAUUUUAUUUCUUGACGUUACCCGAAAAAAGAAACACCGGCUAACUACCGUGCCAGCAGCCGCGGUAAUACGGAGGGGUGCUAGCGUUAAUCAGAAUUACUGGGCGUAAAGAAGCACGUAGGUGGUUUUUUUAAGUUCAGAUGUGAAAUCCCUGGGCUUAACCUAGGAACUGCAUUUUGAAACUGAAAUACUAGAGUAUCGUAGAGGGAGGUAGAAUUCUAGGUGUAGCGGUGAAAUGCGUAGAUAUCUGGAGGAAGUACCUGUGGCGAAAGCGGCCGUCCUAAACGAAUACUGACACUGAGGGUGCGAAAGCGUGGGGAGGCAAACAGGGAUUAGAUAC